GGAUGUGAGGACCAUGUGGCUGCAACAUCUGUCACCUCAUUGACCACCAGGGUUGAUUUGACUAAUCUGGCUGGCUAGGCGGGUGUUCCCUUCCUCCCUCAACUCUCUAUGUGCAUCCCUCCCAAAGCUGUGCGCUCAGUCGAAGAGGGCAACCACCCCCGAUAGAAGAGGACUGUUCCUCCGUCAAGGGCAUAUGAGUAGCUGCGCUCCCCUGCUAGAACCUCCAAACAAGCUCUCAAGGUGUAUCUGUAGAAGUGAAUGUUAACACCAAACUUUACAUUCAACUUCAGAGGGUCU
rnacentral:snRNA from 1 species